GUAGGUGGCAAGCGUUGUCCGGAAUUAUUGGGCGUAAAGCGCGCGCAGGCGGUUCUUUAAGUCUGAUGUGAAAGCCCACGGGCUCAACCGUGGAGGGUCAUUGGAAACUGGAGAACUUGAGUACAGAAGAGGAAAGCGGAAUUCCACGUGUAGCGGUGAAAUGCGUAGAGAUGUGGAGGAACACCAGUGGCGAAGGCGGCUUUCUGGUCUGUAACUGACGCUGAGGCGCGAAAGCGUGGGGAGCAAACAGGGUUAGAUACCCUGGUAGUCCACGCCGUAAACGAUGAGUGCUAAGUGUUAGGGGGUUUCCGCCCCUUAGUGCUGCAGCUAACGCAUUAAGCACUCCGCCUGGGGAGUACGGCCGCAAAGGCUG
rnacentral:rRNA from 1 species